GAGCUGAGUGGCAGAGCAUCUGAUUUGCAAGCAGAAGGCCCCAGGUUCAAUCCUUGGCGUCUCCA